rnacentral:rRNA from 1 species
UACGAAGGGGGGCUAGCGUUGCUCGGAAUUACUGGGCGUAAAGCGCACGUAGGCGGAUUGUUAAGUCAGGGGUGAAAUCCUGGAGCUCAACUCCAGAACUGCCUUUGAUACUGGCGAUCUCGAGUCCGGGAGAGGUGAGUGGAACUGCGAGUGUAGAGGUGAAAUUCGUAGAUAUUCGCAAGAACACCAGUGGCGAAGGCGGCUCACUGGCCCGGUACUGACGCUGAGGUGCGAAAGCGUGGGGAGCAAACAGGG